rnacentral:lncRNA from 1 species
CUACCAUAAAGAGGGAUACACACACUUUAGGGAGGGGACCGAUUUCCCUCUAAAAAGAAUUCUUUCCAUUCACUCUUAAUGGAUUCUCUCAUCUUUGUCACUCUCUUAACUAUAUAACACACACACAUAAACGAAAAGGGGAGCUGGAGGCCAAACAAAAACCUAGCAGCUUCCUUCUUCUUCACCAUAUUUUUUAUACAAGAAUACUUCAUCUUCCUCACUUAGCUUCACCAUAAAAAUCACUGUUCACUUCUAAAAUUCAGCCAUGAAAUGCAAUUGAAUCACCAGCAAAAUACACCCCCAAACAUCCCCAAAAACUAGCAGCUCGGAUCCAGUCCAAAACGUCACACAAAACAGCAAAAUUUCGAGCUCAAAAUAGUCCCAAAACUCAUGUAAAACUCCAUUAAAUUUAGCCAUAAACCACCAGCAAAAAGGACCUCCAAACCCAGCUUCAUCUCCACCCUAAAACACCCCAUAAAACACCUCAAAAUUCAACCCCAAAGAGCAGCGAAAACAGCUGCAAAAUUGCUGAAGAAAGCUGUCAAAUAUUGACCUGAAACAUUCCCAAAAUCACUCCAAAACCCAGCUGAAAAAUCAGCCAAAUUUCAUUCCCAAACUAGAGCAAAAGUGGGCAAAAAACGCAGCCAAAAACAGCCGCAAAUCAGCUGCCGAUAACCGCCAAAAAUAGCCCCGAAAAGCCAUGAAAAUCGGCCCGAAAACCAGCUGAAACAGUCACCCAAAACUAGCUGGAACGCAAUACCAAACCACCCCAAAAAUAGUCCUCAUAGCACCAUAUUUGUCGAUAAGCAUAGCUUCAUUUCAACUGGGUAAGACCACCCACGUUUAGUCGAGUUUUUUUUUGGAGUCGAGUUCGAGACUUCCGGAGCGGGUUUCGAUUUGUGGUUCCUUUGGUGCGAGAAUUCAGGAGUUUCAUUUGCUCAUGUAACUGAAGAAGUUUCCAUCUAUACAAAGGUCAUUUUUCUCUUUAUAUUAUGGUUUUAGUUGAUAUUUUACUAUGAUUGGCCUAGCUAAAAGUUUUCAACUGCUUUGUUUGUUUACAUCUCUGAGAACGUGUGUUGGAUGUUUGUUUUGUUUGCUAAUUCUUGAGAAGAAGAAAUAUGACUUGAAUCUUAAUCCUUCAUAAUGCAUAAGUUUGGUAUUCUAAUUCAAAGACUUAAGUGAAUGAAAUUUUGUGUUAUCUGAGAAACAUGCCAUUAUUUUUAUACCAUUUUAGCCUGAGUCAGUAUGUUAAGAAAGGCAAAUUUAAUGUGAAUUGCUGCGAAUGAAUUUGAAAUGUGGGGUGCGCUAUGAUAAUUCAAAUGGGCCAUUUGGUCGACUAGAAUCAGAAUAGAGUUUGGAUCUUUCUAUUAGAACUAGGCCGAAAAGAUUUAGUCUUACGAGACCCAGAGUAAUAAAUAAUAUAGCUGACCCAUCUUUUCUUGCCUUACAAUCAUCUCAAACCUUAAGAAAUUAAUCAAUUAUCGAACAUCGUAGCUUGCUUUAGGCAUGAUUAAUAAUAAAAUAUCGUGACUAUGGGUACGAUUCCUGUGGCAUGGUCACGAUACAUAAAUGCCCAUUCAAGUACGUGUUUCACGCGACUUGACCUCAACUUCAAAUAAUAAUGAAAAUUAACAUGUUGUAAAUCACGGGUGCAUUUCACGUGGCGCGAUUCGUAAUGUGUAUAAAAAUAAACGAGUGCGCAACAUCGUGACUUAUUCAAAUAAAUUCUAUAAGUAUUAAAAGUGGUGAAAGAGUAAAAAUGCACAAUAGGUUUUAAAUAUGUAAUAAAUCAUAUAACUAGGCCAAUUAUUAAUAGUUAAGCGACCGUGCUAAAAUUACGGAACUCAAGAGUGCCUCACACCUUCUUCCGUAUUAAUAGAAUUCCUUACUCGGUCUUCUAUGUUCGCGGACCGUAAAAUAGAGUCAAAUUUCCUUGAUUUGAGAUUUAAAAUGAACCGUUGACUUGGGACACCAUCAAAAUUAUUCCAAAUGGCGACUCUAAAUAAAUAAAUAAUCUCAUUUCAAAUUAUGACACUUUAAUUGAAAAAAACUCUCGAUCCCUCGGGAAAAAGGAGGUGUGACAGCUCUGGCGACUCUACUAGGGACAUGAACCCAGAGUCUCUAGUUCAGGGUUCAGAAUUCGAGCUUAGAAUAAUUUUUAUACCUGGAUUUUGCUUAUUAUCUGAUUUCUUUACAUGUUUGAGCCUCAUGUGCUAAAUACCGCUUUUUACCGCUUUGAUAUUGUUUGAACUGUAUAUAAAACUGUUACGAAACCCUUAUUCUCUCUAAGGCUUCUAAAUCUUCUGGGAAGUGCAUGCUGGUGUGACUUCUUUUCUGUUAGUGUCAUACCCUAAUUUAGAACGAGGAUCAGAUCAGUUAUAAAAUCGGAUGGCCUUUUGGUUCCCGGUACGUUGCCCCCCUCGGCUCGAGUUGUCUCGUCGGGUAAGUCUCCAUACCUUUAAGCUCUUAAACUUAGAAGAACAUAGCCUCAUGCCAGAUCCCUAGUACGUACGCUAGUUUGCAUCACGUGUAUUUGACUUUGGGGACUCAACACAGGGGUUGGAUCCGUCUAGGACAGGUAUACCCAAAUUAAAAGACCAUCAUGAUGCAUCUUACGUGCUACUUGUGUAUUUGUUUGUUCGGCUUGCAUGUUGACUGGCUUCUAGAGUAUGGAAAGAAAAUCAAGAAAAAAUAGGAGAGAGAAAAUUGACCUGAUUCCUAAAAUUUCGGUAUUUGAAAAAAAAAAAAAAUCCUGAAACUCUGUCGAAUUUUUAGAAGGUUGUCACAAAUGAGUCCAAAUUUUCAAAAAUAACAUUUUCCACUGGUCCUGAAAAACUAACCGAACUACGAGGGUCUGAUUCUCACCGGAUGUGAGAUACGUAGGCAAACCUCAUCGGUUUCGGCACACAAUUUUCAAAAAACAAAAAUUCAAAUAUAUUUUCCUUUACUUCCUUCUUUAGAAAGUCUUUCUUUUAGACCCCAAUAUUUUAAAAAAAAUACAAACAAAAUUUCUUUUAAUUUCUUCUCAAAAUCCAAAAAUAUUUUCAUUCUUCUUUCGAAAAUUGAAAAGAAAAUUCAAGAUUCAAAAAUAUUUUCUUUUUUCUUUAGAAGUAUUUCUUUCAUAAAUUCAAAAUAAAAGUCCAAAAAUGCAAAAAUAUUUCCUUUCUUUUUUAGAAGUUUUUCUUUCGAAAUUUCUGGAAAAAACAAAGAGAAAAAAAAUCGAAAUUCAAAAAAAAAAAAAAUUCUUUCUACUUUAGAAGUCUUUCUUUUAAAAAAUUCUCAAAAACAAAAGCCAAACAAAUCGAAAUCCAAAAAUAUUUUAUUUCUUCUUUAUAAGUCUUUCUUUCGAAAAUUAAAAAAAACUUCAAAAUCCAAAAAAAGAGUGAGUUUAUUUACUUUAUUCAUGAUCUUCCCGAACUACGCAAAGAUCUGAUUCAUUUUUCCACAUGAUACGUAGGCAACCCACAUCAGGUUUGAUCGACCAUUUUUAAAAAAAAAAAACAUGAUGAUCAUAAUAAUAAGGACCGACUGAGUCCAUUCUAACGUGUCUUUUGUUUUGAAUGGUGAAGAAAGUUUAAGGUGGUCGGUUUGUGGUAAGCUAGCAACACAUCCAGAAUUCACAAGAUCCAAGGGAAAAAUGCCAAUGACAAUUGACAUCNNNNNNNNNNNNNNNNNNNNNNNNNNNNNNNNNNNNNNNNNNNNNNNNNNNNNNNNNNNNNNNNNNNNNNNNNNNNNNNNNNNNNNNNNNNNNNNNNNNNNNNNNNNNNNNNNNNNNNNNNNNNNNNNNNNNNNNNNNNNNNNNNNNNNNNNNNNNNNNNNNNNNNNNNNNNNNNNNNNNNNNNNNAUUUCCCAGAGUUCACAUCCAUCUCGACUACUACCAUUCCGGUCUCAUUGUUUGAUCAAUCUUAUCCAUCUGGGUUCAGUCUUUAUCCCAACUAUACGACUACACCUGGAACUUAUGUUGCGCGCUCCCAAAGUGUGCCAUUGACAACCAAUCAGACAACCACUACUGUUAUGACCGUCUUCACCAUCCCACAACCGACGGUGGUGCAGAGGAAAACUCAUGAGUCACAAUUUGCUACCCAGCAAGAACAGUACCACUCUCCUUAGUACCACUCCUACAUAUUUGAUCUUUCUGCAAAGAUUGAGAAGCCUGCCUGAAAGAUGGCACAGGAAGAAAUGACCCAAAGAAUAAAAAGCUUAGAACAACAGUUAAAAAAUAUGCAAGGGUUGGUAGGUCAGAAGAGUAUUGCCUUCAAGGAUCUAUGUAUGUUCCCCGAUGUUCGUUUGCCACUUGAUUUCAAGACUCCCAAAUUUAAAAAAUAUGAUGGACAUGGAUACCCCAUAGCCUACCUGAAAAGGUAUUGCAAUCAACUAAGAGGUGUGGGAGGAAAGGAAGAAUUACUGAUGGCUUAUUUUGGGGAAAACCUUACGGGACUAGCCUCCGAAUGGUUUAUGGAUCAAGACACAUCUCGCUGGUAUGUAUGGGAUGACAUGGCCCAGGACUUUGUUAAAUAGUUCCAAUACAACAUCGGCAUCGCCCCAGACCGCAAUUCCCUUUCUAACCUGAAGAAGAAACCAACUGAAAGUUUCAGGAAAUAUGCCAUUAAAUGGAGAAAGAGCAAGCGGCUAGAGUUAAGUCACCCAUGGAUGACCACGAGCUAAUCAUUGUUUUCCUUCAGGCUCAAGAGCCAGAUUAUUUUCAAAGCAUGAUGUCCGCAGUUGGCAAACCUUCUCGGAAGUAAUCAAAAUUGGGGAAAUGGUUGAGAAUGGCCUAAAGAAAGGUAGAAUUAUAAGUCAAGCGGUUCUCAAAGCUAUAACUCAGGCUGUCCAGAUUGAAUCUGUUAAUUAUCGUGACACGAAUGAGAAGGAUGAAGAAACCAUGAUGACAUCAGGGUCGAGAAGAGGUCCUAGGAGAACAUCUCGAAGGUACGACCAGCCUUGUCUAUUUUCCGAUGAUUCCCCUUAGCAAUAUUAUCCACCUUAGAACCCACAAUACUCUGUUGCUUCACCUCAGUAUAUUACCCAGCCACCAAGACACUCCAGAAGGCGAGCACAAACACCACAAAUUCUCCACCAGCCUUCACAAAAUUUUCAAGUGCCUUAUAACCCAUAUCCAAGCCAGGGGUAUAGAGGGGAACAAAGGUUGAAAGAUAAUUUUACACCAAUAGGAGAGUCCUAUGCAAGCUUGUUUGAGAAAUUAAAGCAUUAUGACAUGAUUGCAUUUAUUCCUCCAAAUUAUGUGGACCUACGUGCAAGAAGCUUUGACCCUUCUAAAAGGUGUGAAUACCAUUCCAAUGCCCAGGGGCACAGUGUUGAAAGCUUUCAGGAUUUGAAAAUAGAAAUAGAAAGGAUGAUCCAGGAAAACCUGAUUGUGAUCCAAGACAGUGACACCCAGAAUAUCGCGCAGAAUCCUCUGCCUGCAUAUGAUGAUGCACACUUUGUGGGGAUGAUACGCGGUGACAUAGAACAUGCAUAUCCUCUCGGGAACUUCCUGAUUGAAGUUAAUGAUAUUGACAUUGGAGAAGGACCUGGUGAUUCUGAUGAGCAAUUUUGUUGCUAAAUGUCAAGCUUAGCAAUUGAAAAGUCAUUUCCUCCUCACUAGGAAGGAAGCUUGGUAGCUUAUUUUGAUGUUUUUUCUAUUAUCUGGGUUAUUUCAGGGUUGUGAUCCAGAUUUUAUUUGUUUUAUUGAGUCAAACCCUUUUAUCCCUAUAUUCUGUUUGUGUGAGUCUUGUCUGUUUGUUCUGUUGCUAUUUUCAUUAUCCGGGUUAUUUUAGGGUUGUAACUCGAAUUUUAGGUUGUUUCUCUUGUUUUCAAACUCUUCCAUCCUUUACUCAAUGAAAUACAAUUUGUCCUUUUGUGCCAUUCUGUACUUAAUUCUUUUCCUGCUAGUUUUAGUGAUAUGACAUGCAUGCAGAAAGUUUUUCUAGAUCUUAGAAAACUGAUUUAAUCUUGAAUUGGAUAACUGAGAAAAAGACAUUUUUGUGGAUGAAUAAAGAGUCGAAACACUUUGGAAUUAAGCUCGAAUAAAAUUCACCUUCAAAUCAUUGUGAAGAUCGGAUUUGAGGAAGAACCAAUUGAAGUUUGGAGGAAAGUUUGAGAUUAAUGGAUGGAAAGUGUUCUUCGACCACGACACACUAAGAAGACAGACAUGUUCAUGAAUGCUGUAAUUGCGAAAGGAUACUAUGUUUUGCGUUCUCGAGGUUAGGAGGCCCUUUUUCUGUUAUCCAAAUACUUUAUACGCUUAGACACCCCUUUUGAGCUUGUAUUAUUUUCUUUGACCACCUUCUUUUGGAUUCAAGUUUAGAGUUAUAAGUUCGAAAAUGAAAAUGAAAUGGAAAAAAUGAAAAGGAAAGUCUAUGCCCCAAAAGUAUGAACUGGGGCAACUGUUAGAAAGUUCUAGUGAAAAAGAAGAAGAUAAAAAUAGUCAAAGAUUUAUGCCCCCAGAAAAUAAAGGUUGGGGCAACUUAUUUUGAAAAAAAAAAUGAAAAAAAAGAAAAGAAAAAGAAACGGAAAGAAAGAUGAAAAAAAAUAGUUAUGUUAGAUGUUUGAACUACGUUUGACCUGAUUCCUUUAAAAAAGGAUACGUAGGCAACCUUAUACGGUUCUGUCCAACCAAAUAAGAAUUUAGAAGAAAACAAAUCCAAAAAUCUCAGUAUCUAAAACUGGGGCAUGAGUUUGUUUUAAUUUUUUUUAAGAGUCGAUUCCGAGAGUCGUAAGUGUACAACCCAUCAUAUUUAGUCUACUUAGAGCCUUCAUGCCAUCCUUUCUUUCCAACCUUAUCCAAAAACCUUCCUAAUAAUAUCUCCCGAUAAGCCUUCAAGAAUGUCAAGAGAAGCAUGCAAUGAGCAAUGGUUGUCAUGCGACAUAUGACACUGUCAUGUUGCUCACACAAGAAAGCAAAAUAAAAGGAAAAAUAAAAAAGAAAAAAUGAGAGAGUAUUACUAGUGAAAACCCUCACGGGCACUAUAAGAUGAUGGUAUGUAGAGAUAAAGAAAUGAGAGAGAUUUACUGGUAAAAAUUCCUCGGGGCACCACUAGUCGAAAGUGAGUCGUGAAGCUGAUGCAAAGAAUUGGCACAAACAAGCCCAACUUCAAAUGUCAUAAGAAUGGUAAAAGGAAAGAUUAGAUCAGUUUGAUAGAUCAGGUCGUUGAGUCCAAAAUGCAUGUCAUGAUCAUUAAGGCUAGUUAUUGAAAAAAAAACUCUUCCUUCUAUCUUGCCCGACAAGGGCAUUUCUUGUUAAUAUUAUUUCUUUGCAUCAUUGUGUCCUUCACUUUGAGUUAGUCCUUGUCAAAACAAGCAAGAAAAUAUUUCAAAAUCUGCUACCAGCUUUUCAGUUGCACAAAGUAUAUUUAGCCAGCACACUCAGUUCUUACAGUCAACAUACCUUGAGGAUUCAUGCAAAGGCUCCCCACCAAAAGACUCUUGUUAACCUACUUGGCUAAAGCAAACAAAGAUAACCUCAAGGUUAAUCAGGGAUUCUCUGUAAUACUGAACAAAGUCUAUGAAGUGCGCACAUCAUGCAAAAGGCAUUUACCAGUUGUGAUUCUCUAUGAUAGACAUAUUGCUCCAAAAGCAAAGGCCAUUCAAGAUAUCAGAAAAGGUUAUCCAAGAAAAGAAAUCUCUUUUUUGAGAUAAGGCUGAUUGUGCCACAAAACAUAAUAGCACUGGGAGCGAAAUAAUCAGGGUUGAUACAGAAAGUAAAGGUCCCUUGUAAGCAACAACAGAAUCUCCCAGUAGUGCAGCCAACUACCAAUGCAAUCGCUCUUCCAAAGGCUGGAUGAUCACAAAACUAAACCGCCCAAGACUCAAGGCCACAAGCCGACCACCACUUUUAAAACUGACAAAAUUUUCUUUGUUUGAAACAGGAACAGAGCAAUGCAAGGAAAGUGGUUCAAAAAAAAGAGAAAAAGAAGGGGGGGGGGGGGAGCCAACAAAGGAAAGUUUCUCAAAUCUUUGCCUUUAUUUGACUUUCUAGUGUGCAUAAAAUUGUGCCAUUGCUCUUCACAUUUUUCCUCCUAGGAUAAAAUGUCAUAUUCUAAUGAAUUUUCCUCCCAAUAAAAAUCUUAGUCUGAUGAAUCUUUCUCCUAAGAUAAAAAACCCUAGUCUGAUGAAUUUUCUCUUAGGAUAGAAGUCUUAGUCUGAUGAAUCUUUCUCCUAAGAUAAGAAAACCUACUCUGAUGAAUUUUCUCCUAGGAUAGAAAUCUUAGUCUGAUGAAUCUUUCUCCUAAGAUAAGAGAACCUAGUCUGAUGAAUCUUUCUCCUAGGAUAGAAGUCUUUAUCUAAUGAAUUUUUCUCCUAAGAUAAGAAAACCUAGUCUGAUGAAUCUUUCUCCUAGGAUAGAAAUCUUAGUCUGAUGAAUCUUUCUCCUAAGAUAACAAAAAAAACCUAGCCUGAUAAAUUUUCUCCUAGGAUAAACGUCUUAGUCUAAUUAAUCUUUCUCUUAAGAUAAAAGAACCUGGUCUGAUGAAUUUUCUCCUAGGAUACAAAGUCUUACUCUGAUGAAUCUUUCUCAUAAGAUAAGAAAACCUAGUCUGAUGAAUUUUCUCCUAGGAUAGAAAUCUUAGUCUGAUGAAUCUUUCUCCUAAGAUAAUAAAUUAAAAAAUCUAGUCUGAUGAAUUUUCUCCUAGGAUAAUAAAAAAAGAAAAAGUCUGGAUUAAAAAAAAAGAAGAGGUCAGCUUUAGUUUCCUUAAGUUGUUAAUUUUAGUUUCCUUUAGUUCAAGGGUCCCGCAUGGAGAAUAGGGUCAGUUUUUAGUUUCUUUAAGUCGUUAAUCUUUAGUUUUCCUUAAUGCCAGGGGUCCCGCCUGGAGAAUAGGGUUAGUUUUUUAUUUUCUUAAGUUAUUAAUCUUUAGCAUUCCUUUAGUUCAGGGGUCCCGCCUAGAGAAUUGGGUUGGUUUUUAGUUUCCUUAAGUUGUUAAUCUUUAGUUUUCCUUAAGUUCAGGGGUCCCGCCUGGAGAAUAGGGUCAGUUUUAGUUUCCUUAACUUGUUAGUCUUUUAUUUUUCUUAAAGUUCAGGGGUCCCGCCUGGAGAAUAGGAUCAGUUUUAGUUUCCUUAAGUUGUUAGUCUUUUGUUUUUCUUAAAGUUCAGGGGUCCCGCCAGGAGAAUAUGGUCAAUUUUUAGUUUAGUCAAGCUCAUUUUAUAGUUUUCCUUAAGCUCAAUCCCACAAGAGACGUACAUCCUAGUCGAAUCUUUAAUGUUACUCUCAUCAUUGCAUCCUUCAUCAAUAGCAUAUGUGAUUUAUAAUUUUGCUAAUAACUCACAAAUCUUCCUAGUGCAAACUAGGGCAGAAAAUCUUGUUCGUUUUGUUUGUUUGAUUGCAAGCACCCAUCUGGAGAAUGAGAGAAUUUAUUUAAGAAUUUAUUUUAAAUUUCAAGUCAGUAGCAGGCACCCACCUGGAGAACGAGGGAAUUCAUUUCAGAAUUUAUUUCAAAUUUCAAAAUAGUAGCAGGCACCCACCUGGAGAACGAGGGAAUUCAUUCAAUUUUCAAGUCAGUAAUAGACACCCACCUGGAGAACGAGAGAAUUCAUUUCAGAGUUAUUUUAAUUUUCAAGUCAGUAGCAAGCGCCCGCUUGGAGAACGAGGGAAUUCAUUUUAGAGUUAUUUCAAUUUUCAAGACAACAUGAUCCCGCCUGAAGAAUAGGUGCAACCUCCAGUUUUAUUUUCAAUUCAAAUCGGAAGUAGCACGAGUUGCCUGAAGAAUAAAGUUUUUACCUCGAGGCACAUGGUUCGAGAUGACCAAAAAAGAAGUCUUAAUCCAAAAUAAAGAAAAAAAAAAGUGAAUCCAAAAUGAAGAAGCAGAUUAAAGAUGUGAACUGCUCAAGACAUGACUGAAGUCACGAGCACUGCAUUCCCCAUUUUUAUCAGAAAAAGCCGUAGAAUAAUGAACAAGUACCUGCAGCUAGCAAGCAUCAAGGUUCAACUCAAAAGUCUGCAUGAAGAACCAUUCAAGACUUAAGAUCAAGUUUCAGAAGACUUAUAGAUAGGAAUCUUGUAACUCAUAACUGAUAGGCUUGUUUAGUUCCUUUAGAUUUUGAUUUUGAUGUAAUAACAGGACCACGGACCGGAGCCUCGACGGAACCUCACUCGACUCUCCAACUCAUCAUUCCAUCAUUCUCCUUGAACUACACGCGACCUGAUUCUCUUAUCACCCGGGAUAUGUAGGUUGUCCAAAAUCAGGAUUCGGUUGCACUCUCUUCUCUUUUCUUUUGUUUCUUCCUUUUUGAAUAAUAAUAUGGUAAAAAAUUAGUCAUACCACUCACCUUGUCUUUGCCUGAAAACUUUUCAUGUUUCCAAGCAAAGAGGGGCAUGCUGUGAGCACAUAAGUUUUUACCAUAUUUAGAGUUUUUAUCACUUUCUUUAUUUAAAUAGUUUUUAAGAUUAAUCUUGAUAUUUUAGCUUGUAUUUCACUUUUUUAUAGAUUUUAUUUGAUAAAAUUGAAAAUCACAAAAGAAAAAAAAAAUUAAUUUUGACUAGUUCUACUAAAGUCUUGCUUUGUUCAAAUGUCCAAAUCAUGACCCAAAUUGGGCAAAACCUAAACCCAAUAGCCAAAAGCCCAUUUUCUCCUAGACCAAUCCCUUAACUCUAAGCCCUUUUCUCCUACCAUAAAGAGGGAUACACACACUUUAGGGAAGGGACCGAUUUCUUUCUAGAAAGAAUUCUUUCCAUUCACUCUUAAUGGAUUCUCUCAUCUUUGUCACUCUCUUAACUAUAUAACACACACAAAGAAACGAAAAGGGGGAGCUGGAGGCCAAACAAAAACAUAGCAGCUUCCUUCUUCUUCACCAUUUUUUUUAUACAAGAAUACUUCAUCUUCCUCACUUAGCUUCACCAUAAAAACCACGGUUGACUUCUAAAAUUCAGCCAUGAAAUGCAGCUGAAUCACCAGCAAAAUACACUCCCAAACAUCCCCAAAAACCAGCAGCUCGGAUCCAGUCCAAAACGUCACACAAAACAGCAAAUAUUUGAGCUCAAAACAGCCUCAAAACUCAUGUAAAACUCCAUUAAAGUUAGCCACAACCCACCAUAAAAAACGAUCUCCAAACCCAGCUUUAUCUUCACCCCAAAAUACCCCAUAAAACACCUCAAAAUUCAGCCCCAAAGAGCAGCGAAAACAGCUGCAAAAUUGCUGAAGAAAUAUGUCAAAAACUGACUUGAAACAUCCCCAAAUUCACUCCAAAACCCAGCUGAAAAACCAGCCAAAUUCCAGUCCCAAACUCAAGCAAAAGUGGGCCAAAAAUGCAGCCAAAAACAGCCGUAAAUCAGCUGCUGAUAACCGCCAAAAAAGUCCCGAAAAGCCAUGAAAAUCGGCCCAAAAACCAGCUAAAACAGCCACCCAAAACUAGUUGGAACGCAGCACCAAACCACCCCAAAAAUAAUCCUCAUCGCACCAUAUUUGUCGAUAAGCAGAGCUUCGUUUCA